GUCGAGCAGCUGUGUAGAUUUCACUCCUCUCGGACUCUAUCCCCACGUCGAGGAGCCAGACACAGCCAGUGAGGUAGUAUUUGCACGACCGAAAAUAACCAGCACCCAGUUGAGUUCGCAGACGUACAGAGAGCAAAAAGCCCUCGCUAACAGCAGCAGACGUCACA